AUUGAACGCUGGCGGCAUGCCUUACACAUGCAAGUCGGACGGUAACAGGGAGCUUGCUCCGCUGACGAGUGGCGAACGGGUGAGUAAUGUAUCGGAACGUACCUUUUAGUGGGGGAUAACGUAGCGAAAGUUACGCUAAUACCGCAUAUUCUCUGAGGAGGAAAGCAGGGGACCUUCGGGCCUUGCGCUAAUAGAGCGGCUGAUAUCAGAUUAGCUAGUUGGUGAGGUAAAGGCUCACCAAGGCGACGAUCUGUAGCGGGUCUGAGAGGAUGAUCCGCCACACUGGAACUGAGACACGGUCCAGACUCCUACGGGAGGCAGCAGUGGGGAAUUUUGGACAAUGGGGGCAACCCUGAUCCAGCCAUGCCGCGUGAGUGAAGAAGGCCUUCGGGUUGUAAAGCUCUUUCGGCCGGGAAAAAAUCGCAUGGGCUAAUACCCUGCGUGGAUGAUGGUACCGGAAUAAGAAGCACCGGCUAACUACGUGCCAGCCGCCGCGGUAAGAC
rnacentral:rRNA from 1 species